AAGAUCUUAGUUUAAUAAAAAUGUUUAGUUUACACCUAGAAGUUUUAGAUCUUU
rnacentral:tRNA from 1 species